UUAAAGGGCUGCAGUAUAUUGACUGUACAAAGGUAGCAUAAUCAUUAGUCAUUUAAUUGAUGACUUGUAUGAAAGAUUGGAUGAAAUAUAAGCUGUCUCUUAAUUAUAUUUAGAAUUUAAUUUUUUAAUUAAAAAGUUAAAAUAAAUUAGAAAGACGAGAAGACCCUAUAGAGUUUUAUAGGUAAAAUUAAUUGAGAUUAUUUUUAAAGGUUAAAAUUAAGAUUAAUUUAUUUAUUUUGUUGGGGUGACAGAAAAAUAUGAGAAACUUUUUAUAUGUUUAAAACAUUAAUAAGUGGUUAAAUGAUCCAGUAUUAUUGAUUAUAAGAAAAAAUUACCUUAGGGAUAACAGCGUAAUUUUUUUUUUUAGUUCAUAUAAAAAAAAAAGUUUGCGACCUCGAUGUUGGAUUAAGAUAAAAUUUAAAUGCAGAAG
rnacentral:rRNA from 1 species